GCAGCUCCUUUAGCACCACCCUCUAAGGCGGGGCCUCUGGCUGUUGGAAAACUUGCAGAUUCUUGUGUAAAAGUAAAGAAGAAAUAAGUAAAGGGAGUCGGAAGACACUUAAGAGGAGACGUCCGCUGCGCCACUCUCUCCUCCCUGCCUAGAGCUGGGAGUGUGGCCCACAUAUGGAACGGGUCUCCCCGACUAAGGUUGUGAAAGGCCUUUACUGCUGGGCGCAGGCGCCUCUUUUCCCCUCUGGGUUUUAGAUUUGUUUCAACAAACCUUUCCUGGGCAUUUUCUUAUGUUAGAGGGUAAUACCCGCUGGACCAAAAGUUUUCAGUGCUGAAGGACAUACAGGAGAGCGACACUGCGUCUAAAAAGGAGAUCUAGGAAGUUUUCCUGAAAUCGCUGGAGGUUAAAUGAGGCCUUGAACCGUGGGAAGGCUGGAGAGGAACUGACAGAGUCCAGAGAUCAAAGUCCGAGGUAGAGGGAAAGGUCAGUAAGGAAGCACAGGACAAACUAAGAAAAAGAACUCAUCAUCUUGGCAGACACCCAGGAUGUGUAGGCGGAGGCGCCUGAAUAACCCAAAAGGCGCUUCAAGAACGUGCUAUAAAGUUUGAACUUGGGUCUGUGAUCCAAGAGGAACCGUCCCCAGAAAGUGCAAGCGCAAGAGACCAAAGGUCGGUUCCCAGACUGUCCUAACUGCCAAGAGUAUCUGGCCAGCACGAUUCUCAUCAGCGAGUUUGAACCCUCCUCCUCUUCCAGGAUCCUGUUAUAUGAAUGUACUACAAGGUACUCAUUUGUUCUCCUGUUGAUAUUUGGCUUGUUCCCAGCUUUCCACCAUUACUUGCAAUAUUACUCUGAACCUCCAUGUCCAUGUUCAUGGUACAGUGAGCACACAUGGCCUCUAGAAAAAACAAAUCUAGGCUCAGAAAGAUUAAGAAACUUACUUGAAGUCACUCAACAGUGAAACCUGGGCAACCUUCAGAAGAGAAUCAAGCCCUGGUGGAGAUUUUGGUUUUUAUCCUUGUGUACGACAUUGAAGCAAAGGACCCAGUUUAGCACUGCCCAGAAUCUUUACCUGUGGAAAUGAAGAACUCAAUCAUUUUACCGAAGAAUUCUACCAACGUCUGAGAAACAUUACCACCCAUUCUCCACAACCUCUUUCAGAAAAUAGAAAAAGAUAAUAUACUUUCCAAUUCACUGAACCGCAAACUACUUUCCAAAGUAACUGCAUCAUGGACCAGCCUUAUAACACAGCAGUUAAGUGCUGUGCAUCAGGAGCCAGAUUCCACAUGACUGACCAUGGUUCAAAUC